UACGGAGGGUGCGAGCGUUAUCCGGAUUCACUGGGUUUAAAGGGUGCGUAGGUGGGCUUGUAAGUCAGUGGUGAAAUCUCCGGGCUUAACCUGGAAACUGCCAUUGAUACUACAGGUCUUGAAUUUUCUGGAGGUAAGCGGAAUAUGUCAUGUAGCGGUGAAAUGCUUAGAUAUGACAUAGAACACCAAUUGCGAAAGGCAGCUUGCUACAGGAAUAUUGACACUGAGGCACGAAAGCGUGGGGAUCAAACAGG
rnacentral:rRNA from 1 species